rnacentral:lncRNA from 1 species
CUUAUGUCAGCUUAGUGGGGAAUUGAAUUCCUCACCACUGGCUUCACAACUCAGUGGCCUAACUGUCCAGGCAGCAAAGAAUUCAUGGGCCAUUGGAACCAAUUAGCAAUUGAGGGACAAGAGCUAGCCAUCGGAAAUGAUGGCAUGAUGAAAUCAGGGGCACAGUUCCUGGAACUCUUCUGCCGUUGGCAGAGCAUGUCACAAUCCCUUCUGCCUCUUAUAAAGAGAGAACCACUCUGGAUUAGGUGAAAUGUUGCUCUCACCCCACCUUGGCAGAUAUUAAAGUUCCAGAACAAGGAAGACAAUGAAGGUCUUUUCCCUUUUCUUCCUGCUGUUCUUCUUGGCAGUCUUCCUUCCUUCAGGUUCUACCCAGAUUUAUGGAAGGACUGGCUGCCUACGUAGAAAAGGAAGAUGGUUCAAGAAUAGAUGCCCAACAAAAUAUCAUCCACUUGGACGAUGUGAACAAGGAUUUAUCUGCUGUGUUAGGAAACAUUGGGCUCCUUGAUAUAAAGUCUCAACUACCGAAAUCAUCAUACCCUGCUGUACUUACAACAUCUCAGGCUCCGCCUUCAGAACUUUCUCCAAUGAAAGAAUGAUCAAAUGAUCUUCAAUUAAAUGCUAGAAAAAUAGUCUUUGCUGUCCCUGCUUCAAACCCCUAAUAAAAGCAAUGAUGCUGAGCA